CCUCCACCGGCACCACCUGCACCUCGCCCUCCAAGGUCUCCCCAAGGACCACCUCCACCGGCACCACCGGCACCCCGCCCUCCAAGGUCUCCCCAGGGACCUCCCCCACCAGCACCACCAGCUCCUCGCCCACCAAGGUCGCCUCAGGGACCACCUCCACCAGCACCACCAGCACCUCGCCCACCUAGGUCACCACAGGGACCACCUCCACCAGCACCGCCGCCAGGUCCUCCAGGCCCACAAUGAGCAGCAUGGGGGCCGAUUAUCAACAUUGCUACCAAAGUGCUUUGGUAGCGCCAGGGGCCCUUUAGAUGUUUGGACCGCUUAGCCAACGCCUAAUAUUUAGGCCUGGCACAAAUUCGUUCUUGUUUUAGUGGGUCUUCUUAUAAAAUAAAAUUAAUAUUUAUCAGAGUAUUCUCA